UGGGGAAUAUUGCACAAUGGGGAAAGACCCUGAUGCAGCGACGCCGCGUGAGUGAAGAAGUAAUUCGUUAUGUAAAGCUCUAUCAGCAGGGAAGAAAUGACGGUACCUGAGUAAGAAGCCCGCUACUACGUGCCAGCAGCCGCGGUAAUACGUAGGGGCGAAGCGUUAUCCGGAUUUACUGGGUGUAAAGGGAGCGUAGACGGCAUAGCAAGUCUGAAGUGAAAAGGGCUGGGGCUCAACCCCGGGCAGCAUCGCUUUGGCAAUUGAACUGUUAGGCUGGAGUGCAGGAGAGGUAAGUGGAAUUCCUAGUGUAGCGGUGAAAUGCGUAGAUAUUAGGAGGAACACCAGUGGCGAAGGCGGCUUACUGGACUGUAACUGACGUUGAGGCUCGAAAGCGUGGGGAGCAAACAGGAUUAGAUACCC
rnacentral:rRNA from 1 species